UACGAGGGGGGCGAGCGUUGUUCGGAAUUAUUGGGCGUAAAGGGUGCGUAGGCGGUUUGGUAAGUCUUGUGUGAAAUCUACAGGCUCAACUUGUAGUCUGCACGAGAAACUGCCGGGCUUGAGUGUGGGAGAGGUGAGUGGAAUUCCUGGUGUAGCGGUGAAAUGCGUAGAUAUCAGGAGGAACACCUGUGGCGAAAGCGGCUCACUGGACCAUAACUGACGCUGAUGCACGAAAGCUGGGGGAGCAAACAGG
rnacentral:rRNA from 1 species